UACAGAGGGGGCAAGCGUUGUUCGGAAUUACUGGGCGUAAAGGGCGCGUAGGCGGCCUGUUAAGUCGAACGUGAAAUCCCCGGGCUCAACCCGGGAACUGCGUCCGAUACUGGCAGGCUUGAAUCCGGGAGAGGGAUGCGGAAUUCCAGGUGUAGCGGUGAAAUGCGUAGAUAUCGGGAGGAACACCAGUGGCGAAGGCGGCUUCCUGGCCUGUUCUUGACGCUGAGGCGCGAAAGCUAGGGGAGCAAACGGG
rnacentral:rRNA from 1 species